ACUAUAUAUAACGGCUAAAACGACUUUCCCAAAGAAGAAAGCAGAAGUCCAAAGCCUCAAUCUUUGCAGCUCCGCCCCCUCCUCUCUCUCUCUCUCUCUCAAUCUAUCCUCUCUUUCUCUCUCUUCCUUCCAUUUUCAGAACUUAUUCUUGCUCAGAUUCAGCUCAAAUCUUCCUUUCCCUGAUCAGAAAUCUCGAAAAGUUUGCGCCUUUGAGCUCCUACUCGGAAGCAGGAAGCUCAUGACAACCGCAGCUCUGCCUUUUAUCUUGCAUUUCAACAGCAACCCAUCCAUGAAUUAUUUGUACCCAGUGAAAGAAGAGUACCCGGGUUCGAGUUCGUCUCAAUCGGGUCCAGAUUUCGACCCGAUGGUGAUGAUGAUCCCUCCGCCGCAGCCGAUGGAGGGCCUGAACGACACGGGCCCUCCGCCGUUUCUGAACAAGACAUACGAUAUGGUGGACGACCCGGUUUCGAAUCGGGUCGUGUCGUGGAGCAGGGAAGGGGGGAGCUUUGUGGUGUGGGACCCACAUACUUUUGUGAUGAGCCUCCUGCCUAGGUACUUCAAGCACAAUAAUUUCUCAAGCUUUGUGAGGCAGCUCAACACUUACGGUUUUAGAAAGGUUGAUCCUGACCGAUGGGAGUUUGCCAAUGAAGGAUUUGUAAGGGGUCAGAAGCAUCUUUUGAAGAACAUUAAAAGAAGAAAGGCACCUUCUCAGCCUUUUCCGGGACAGCAAACUGUCGGCACUUGUGUGGAACUUGGCCAGUUUGGGCUGGAUGGAGAAGUUGAUCGGUUGCGGCGUGACAAGCAGGUUCUAAUGAUGGAACUAGUGAAGCUUAGGCAGCAGCAGCAGAGUACUAGAGCCUACCUUCAGGCCAUGGAACAAAGGUUACAAAAGACAGAAAUGAGGCAGCGGCAGAUGAUGGCUUUCUUGGCAAGGGCAAUGCAGAACCCGGCUUUUAUACAGCAGCUUGUCCAACACAAGGAGAAAAGGAAGGAGCUUGAAGAGGCAAUGACUAAGAAAAGGAGGAGGCCAAUUGAUCAAGGAACUAGUGGUGUUGGUGGCGGCGAAUCAAGCCUAAGAGGCAAAGGAAUAAACCCAGUUAAAAAUGAGCCUCUUGAAUUUGGCGAUUGUGAGUAUGAAAUGUCGGAGCUAGAAGCACUUGCGAUGGAAAUGCAAGGAUUAGGUAAGGUGAGAAAGGAACAGGGGGAAGUGGUAGAGCCACUAGAUAGCGGGGAUAAAGAGCUUGAUGAAGGAUUUUGGGAAGAACUAUUUAGUGAGAGAUUUAAGGGAGACUUGACCAUUCCGAGUGCUGAAGUAGGCGAAGAUGAAGAUGUGAUUAUCUUGGCUGAUCGCUUAGGUUACGUAGGUUCAUCCCCAAAGUAGACUAGCUAGCUAAACUUCUUCUGCAUUGCUCUCUCUCUCUCUCUCUCUCUCUCUCUCUCUCUCUCCCCCUCUCUCCCCCGUCUUUGGUUUUCACUUCCUCCCAUAUCUUUCGCAACAAUGCUAAAGUCUUCAACAGUUGUUUUCAUAGUCUCUCAUUUUGUCUCUGGGGUUUCUCUUCAAGUGCCAUUAGGCCAUAACUUUCUUCUGGAUUUCUUGGUAUUGACAGGAUAGGGGGAUGAGCAAGCAGUUAUUUGUGGAAAAGAAACCAUCUUUGUUUCUGGUGUUUCUAACCCUGCACAUGAUAAUUGAUUGCCUCCGUUUCUUCUUCUAAUAAUUUCCUCUCUUCUUUCUUUAUCUUGGCUAGGUUGCAGGCAUUGCUUGGACAGAACCUUUGGUAACUUUUAUCGUUAUUUAUGGCAAGGAAUGUAGAUUGUUGAGAAGCUGUUAAACUUGAAAAGGAGUUGCAGCAAAAGCUCCAAGAAACCCUAAAACAUAUUCUUGUUUUUGGGUCCAAGUGACUACAUUGGUAGUUUGUCAGUAUGAUAUAUUCUGUUACUGAAAUGUUGUUUUAAUUAGUUAGAUGUAAAGAGAGUUAGGUAGUAAUGAUCUUCAUAAUGUUACCUUUGUACCGUGUAGAUCGUAGAUUGGUUCAUUUCCGAAAUGGUUCUCUCCUCAGUCACUUCGUCAGCUGUGGACUCUCAAAAACUGGUACACUAUGCUCUUUAAAACAUCACCAUAAAACUGUGUUCCUUACCCCGUUGAUGUCUUACAGAUGAAGACAGGAUCCGAGUAUGAAAGUAAUUCUACAAAAAGCACGAAUUCGAUCGGUUUGUAAGAGUAAUGCAACUUUGGUCUGAAAGAUUUUGUAAUGUAGAUGGCGGUGUCAUCUCAACAGCUCAAGUAUAUUCCUGUAACAUCCUGAUACUAACACAUAAAACCCAGAAUAACAUUUUUAGAGAAUCUGAAUUUUGGAUUACUAAAGGAGGAUAGAAAAUUAAGUUCCAUGAUUAAUUUGUACAUAAGGUUUCUAGAGAACAAGAUGGGAAGUCCAUGUUCUCGUGGACUGGUCACCCUUAAUAACACUUAUCGGCCUCUUACAUAAGAGAAACAGA